rnacentral:lncRNA from 1 species
ACUAUAUUACAUGGAUUAUUGUGAGUGGGUAGACUAUAUACAUGGAUUAUGUGAUGGUGUAGUAGCUAUAUUACAUGGAUUUAUUGUGAUGUGUAGGUAGACUAUAUUACAUGGAUUUAUUGUGAUGGUGUAGACUAUAUUACAUGGAUUUAUUGUGAUGGUGUAGAUAUAUUACAUGGAUUAUUGUGAUGGUGUAGGUAGACUAUAUUACCUGGAUUAUUGUGAUGGU